rnacentral:rRNA from 1 species
GUAGGGGGCUAGCGUUGUCCGGAAUCAUUGGGCGUAAAGCGCGCGUAGGCGGCCCGGUAAGUCCGCUGUAAAAGUCAAAGGCUCAACCUUUGAAUGUCAGUGGAUACUGCCGGGCUAGAGUCCGGAAGAGGCGAGUGGAAUUCCUGGUGUAGCGGUGGAAUGCGCAGAUAUCAGGAGGAACACCGACGGCGAAGGCAGCUCGCUGGGACGGUACUGACGCUGAGGCGCGAAAGCGUGGGGAGCGAACAGGAUUAGAUACCCUGGUAGUCCACGCCGUAAACGAUGGGCACUAGGUGUGGGAGGUGUCGACUCCUCCCGUGCCGGCGCUAACGCAUUAAGUGCCCCGCCUGGGGAGUACGGCCGCAAGGCUAAA